GCGUAGUUGGUAGUAGCGGUGG
rnacentral:siRNA from 1 species